rnacentral:rRNA from 1 species
CAAUAGCGUAUAUUAAAGUUGUUGCAGUUAAAAAGCUCGUAGUUGGACUUCUGACGUGGGACUGCGCCCCGUUCCUUUUGGGACGUUGGGUGCGGACUUGUGUCUUCCUCUCGUAGUUGGUUGGUGCACUUAACUGGGUGCCUUCUGAAUAUGGGACCUUUACUUUGAAAAAAUUAAGAGUGUCCAAAGCAGGCAUUGGCUUGAAUACAUUAGCAUGGAAUAAUAGAAUAGGACUUUGGUUCUAUUUUGUUGGUUUCUAGGACCGAAGUAAUGAUUAAUAGGGAUAGUUGGGGGCGAUUCGUAUUUAACUGUCAGAGGUGAAAUUCUCGGAUUUGUUAAAGACGGACUACUGCGAAAGCAUUUGCCAAGGAUGUUUUUCAUUGAUCAAGAACGAAAGUUAGGGGAUCGAAGACGAUCAGAUACCG